AUAGCUCGCCGAAAGGCGAAUUAAUACCGCAUGUGCCCCGAAGCAAUUCGGGGUAAAGCCGGGGCAACCUGGCGCUUUUAGAUGAGCUCGCGGCCUAUCAGCUUGUUGGUAAGGUAACGGCUUACCAAGGCUUCGACGGGUAGCUGGUCUGAGAGGACGACCAGCCACACUGGAACUGAGACACGGUCCAGACACCUACGGGUGGCAGCAGUCGAGAAUUUUUCUCAAUGGGGGAAACCCUGAAGGAGCGACGCCGCGUGGAGGAUGAAGGCUUUCGGGUUGUAAACUCCUGUCAUUUGGGAACAAUACCUUACGUUAACUGCGUGGAGGUUUGAUAGUACCAGAAGAGGAAGAGACGGCUAACUCUGUGCCAGCAGCCGCGGUAAUACAGAGGUCUCGAGCGUUGUUCGGAUUCAUUGGGCGUAAAGGGCGCGUAGGCUGCGGGGCAAGUCGGGUGUGAAAUCUCAGAGCUCAACUCUGAAACUGCACUCGAUACUGCUUUGCUAGAGGACUGGAGAGGAGAUUGGAAUUCACGGUGUAGCA
rnacentral:rRNA from 1 species